UAAUAUGAUGAUAAAACGUUUAAAAUUCUUGUCACUACCAUUGAAAUAUUCAUAUUAUUAUAUGAAUUUUGAAAAUAAAUAAACGUAAAAAUCUGAUU
rnacentral:snoRNA from 1 species